AGGCUGUUCUAACUCAAAGUAGCAGCGGACGUGUACAAACCGAGGAAGAAACACAUGAUGGUGGCAGUCUUGUUGCAGCCCCAGUACACUCAGUGAGCGCUAGCGGACAAGGCUCAGAGGCUGAUCUAACUCAAAGUAGCAGCGGACGUGUACAAACCGAGGAAGAAACACAUGAUGGUGGCAGUCUUGUUGCAGCCCCAGUACACUCAGUGAGCGCUAGCGGACAAGGUAGGA